rnacentral:lncRNA from 1 species
AGGGAUAGCAUUUACCUGUGCACCGCACCAGCAUGUAUAGAAUAUCAUUUCUCCCACGCCGGUCCCUAUCCUCUUUGUUUUUUUUUUUUUCGUAUAAAAUAUCCCUACCUGUUUUUGUCAUUAAAAAACAAAAAGAAGGGAUGGUAUUUACCUGUACACAAUACCAUUUUGAUACGAUGCACGGCAUGUCCCAUCCAUUAUGCGAUGGACGGCCAUGCAUGGCCAUACAUAACGGAUGUGUAUCCGCAUGUGGCCGUCCAUCGCGAUGGAUAGUGCGCUGUGCACCACACCGUGAGGUGCACAACAAAGAAUCCGAGCUCUAGCAUUUAAUCUGUGAAUUAAAAUGAAAGGUGGGAGUUAUUAACCUUCAAAUUAAAAAUCUUAUCAUGCGAAAAAGGAUAGUCUAAAAAUUAAAAAAUCUUAUCAUGCUUCGAAUUCAGCAUUCAGAAAUUAGUCAUGCGAUGGGCGCACACC